UGAAAGGUUUUCAUUUCUUGAUGAGUAAAGUUUCUGGAAAUAGUUCCUUAUAAUUGUUUGAAUAUCCUGUGUAUUUGUUGGAAUUUUUCCAGUGGAGACCCAGAUCUUAAGGAUAUGAGUCUCUUCUCUUUUUUUGUAAGUCUUGCAAGGGGUCUGUCAAUUUUAUUUAAUUUUCUCAAAAAAAAACAGCUUUUAGUUUUAUUUGCUGAAUGGUUUUUCUAUUUUCAAUCAGAU